UACGAAGGGUGCAAGCGUUAAUCGGAAUUACUGGGCGUAAAGGGUGCGUAGGCGGUUGUUUAAGUCUGUCGUGAAAUCCCCGGGCUCAACCUGGGAAUGGCCGUUGAAACUGGCGAACUGGAGUGUGGCAGAGGGGGGUGGAAUUCCGCGUGUAGCAGUGAAAUGCGUAGAGAUGCGGAGGAACACCGAUGGCGAAGGCAGCCCCCUGGGCUGACACUGACGCUCAGGCACGAAAGCGUGGGGAGCAAACAGG
rnacentral:rRNA from 1 species